AUCGGAUAUUACUAAAAAUUGAAAAAGAUAUAAACAGGAAAUUCAAAUGCACAAUUUGUAGGGUGAGGGCUGAGGCAUCGAUUUGAAAAUAUUUUAUCGGAUUUUAGGGCCUGUUCAUAUGGGCAAAAGUUAUCCCGGUUAGCGAGAAAACUUUUCGACAAGUUUACAAGCGAGAUCUCGCCUUGGUAUGAAAAUAAUAUGAAAAGUUACACUGCGUUCAUACGAGACAAAAAGUUUUCCCGUGUACCGAGA